rnacentral:rRNA from 1 species
AUGAACGCUGGCGGCGUGCUUAACACAUGCAAGUCGAACGAAGCAACUAUCUUGCUUGCAAGAGAGUUGACUUAGUGGCGGACGGGUGAGUAACGCGUGGGUAACCUGCCUCAUACAGGGGGGAUAACAGUUGGAAACGACUGCUAAGACCGCAUAACCCGCUAGUGUCGCAUGACACGGACGGAAAAUAUUUAUAGGUAUGAGAUGGGCCCGCGUCUGAUUAGCUAGUUGGUAAGGUAACGGCUUACCAAGGCGACGAUCAGUAGCCGACUUGAGAGAGUGAUCGGCCACAUUGGGACUGAGACACGGCCCAAACUCCUACGGGAGGCAGCAGUGGGGAAUAUUGGACAAUGGGGGAAACCCUGAUCCAGCGACGCCGCGUGAGUGAAGAAGUAUUUCGGAAUCGUAAAACUCUGUUGUCAGAGAAGAACAAGUUGGAGAGUAACUGCUCCAGCCUUGACGGUAUCUGACCAGAAAGCCACGGCUAACUACGUGCCAGCAGCUGC